rnacentral:lncRNA from 1 species
CUUCUCCAAGAGUGCGCUGCCUGGGCCCGCUUGCCCUGGAGUUAACUUCAGCAGUCAACGGAGAGAAGAGUGGAAACCUUACUGGAUGCGGACAGGAGAGCCAGUUACUGAAAGCAGAUAUAACGCGGAUCCUGUAAAGAGUGAAUUGUAUAUUUCCACAUAUGCUGGACAAUAGGCAGAAAGUGGAGACCCAAAGAACUUGUGAUAUGACGGACAUAAGAAGCUUCAGUUGGCCUCAAAUGUCAAAUAAUAUCCUUCCUGAAUAAUCAAGAAUGUCAAGCUUUUACUUUC